CACACAAUCAUCUAUCUCACUUUCUCUCUCUACCUCUUCACACUUUUCUCUGUCAUCUCCCUCCGCAUCUCUGCGUGCUCACUACAUAAAAAACCGCAGCAUCCAUCUCCAUUUAACUAGCCACUCCGGCGAACCUUGCCACCACCCAAACACUACACUGCCACCCUUGCUCUCUCACAAUCUUUCUGUCUCUCCCUCUCGGCUUCUUCCUUGACACAAAGAAGCACAUAAGCAAUGACGACAUCGGAGUUGGCGAUAUCCGGCGAGGCAACCACCAGCGGCACCUUCCUCUCCUCACUGGAGACUCCCCAUUACCUUUUUCUUUUUGUAAAUUGAAACCGACAUGACGAAAUGACAAGCUCUGUUGCGGCUUGACUCCCCGGUGAGAUUUUCCGUCGAAUCCAGUAUGGUUUCAACUCGGGACAAAUUCCCCAGAUUUCCAGCGAGGGCUAUGAUUUUCAAGCCGAUUUUAGGUUAUCACCGGCCACCCAAUGGUCCUGAAGAAGGUCGCACUGUUGCUGGUUGUGGUACUGUUAUGGAUGGCGCGUGGAGCACAGACGCCUCCACCGGAAGGAUGACUGCCUUUCAAGGAUGAAUAUACGUUUUCAAAUGUUUGUUUCAGAUUGUGGAGUAUUUCGAAUUUGUUAUUUUUAUUUAUUUUUUUUAAUUUAAUUGAUAGGGCACAAUUACAAAAAUUGUGCUAACAUGAAUCUGAAAUGGCAUCUGACACAAGUGUCAGAACAGGGCACAAUAAAAACCUUAUUUGUGCUUAACUCUUUGAGCACACAUGGUCUUAUCGUGCCCUCUAAUCAAUGGUGACGCCCAUAGAGGGCACAUACUUAAAUAUAGUAGCUGCACUGUUGCUAUUGGUCUAUGGGCACAAUUGUUGGUGCUCUUUGGUCUCAAAGAGCACAUAUAAUUUAUUGUGUGCAGUGCCCAUAUUUUUUGUAGUGAAUCUUCUGCUACUUGGUGCUAUUUCUAAUUGAUUCACUGUCUCCCUUAUUUAACACAUGAUGAAGUAUUUCCACGAUAUCCUAGCUAAUUAGUAUUUCUCAGUAAUCUUAUGUAGGAAUGCUGUGAUUAUUAACAAGAGCUAGCUAGGAUGGAAAUAGAACUGACUAGCCAGUAAGGAUAUAGAUAGUGGCUAGGAUUAUGCCAUGUGUUAAAACAAGACUGAAUGUUUAGUUAGUCAGUUAGAAAGGUAGUCUUUUAUAUAAAUAGAUCAUUGUAAUGGCUUAGAGGUUAAGAAAGAUUAAUACAACAAGUCUUUGCAGCUUCUCUCUCUAAACCUUUCUCUCUCUCUAGUUCUUGAAUCCUUAUCUUCUCAUUCGUUCUUCCUCUGUCUACAUUAACAUAGCCUACCUCAAAUUGAUAAGGGAAAUGAUUUAUUUUUCUUUUCAUGUUUAUUUGUGGCGUUUGGAUCAAAUCAAAUAAAUGAGAACAAGGGAUCAAUGUUAAACAGGGAUGCAAAAGGAAAAAAUUGGCAUACAUAAAUCAUGCCAACGUUGCAGGUAUGUAUGUUCUAUUCCGUAUGCAGUUCCAAGAGAAAAUCUUAACAGUGAUGCAGUGUCAUGAUAAAUUGCUGAGCUUAUGUUCCCGAGGAAGCUCAACUGCUCAAGGAAGUAAUUUGUCAAUCUUACAGUUUAUGUUUGGAACUAUAAGUUUGAUAAAUUGGCUUAAUCUGACUGGUGUAUUUCUCUUCAAUCCAAGCUUCCAGGCUUGAGUAGCAUAUAAUACGGUUCGUGGUGAUCAUGAUUCAGCAUAUAAUACAAGCAUACAUAUGGAAAAUUUACUCUACACAUACAGGUACACAGUUCAUUUAUUUUUGGGUUCUUUAGAGAAAGGCCCUUGAAACUCCUAUUUUCCAAAUAAAAACCCACCUAAUAGUAAAUAUUCAAAUAAAACCCAAAAUUCAAAUAGACUACCAUAUAGACAAAUAUGUAACCAAUUAUUACAACAUAUUUACAACUUAUGCCACAAAACUCCUAAUUAUGUUAAUAAAUAUUAUUACUCACCCUAAUUAUGAUUAGCAA